AAGUCGAGCGGCAGGGUGCAGCAAUGCAUCUGAGAGCGGCGGACUGGUGAGUAACGCGUGGGUGACCUACCCUGAGGAUGGGGAUAGCCAUUAGAAAUAGUGGGUAAUACCGAAUAUGGUUGCGGGGCUGUGGUUUCGCAAAGAAAGGAGCUUAGGCUCCGCCUUGGGAUGGGCCCGCGUCCCAUUAGGUAGUUGGUGCGGUAAAGGCGUACCAAGCCUGAGAUGGGUAGCCGGCCUGAGAGGGUGAACGGCCACACUGGGACUGAGAUACGGCCCAGACUCCUACGGGAGGCAGCAGCUAAGAAUAUUCCGCAAUGGACGAAAGUCUGACGGAGCGACGCCGCGUGGAUGAGGAAGGCCGAAAGGUUGUAAAAUCCUUUUAUUGCUGAAGAAUAAGCGGGGGAGGGAAUGCCCUUGUGAUGACGUUAGGCAAUGAAUAAGCCCCGGCUAAUUACGUGCCAGCAGCCGCGGUAACACGUAAGGGGCGAGCGUUGUUCGGAAUUAUUGGGCGUAAAGGGCACGUAGGCGGUUAUGUAAGCCCGGCGUGAAAUUCUCAAGCUUAACUUGGGGACUGCGUUGGGAACUGUGUAACUAGAGUCAUGGAGGGGGAGUUGGAAUUCCUAGUGUAGGGGUGAAAUCUGUAGAUAUUAGGAAGAACACCGGUGGCGAAGGCGAAC
rnacentral:rRNA from 1 species